GGUGAACGCUGGCGGCGUGCUUAAGACAUGCAAGUCGAACGGCAGUCUUCGGACUGUAGUGGCGCACGGGUGAGUAACGCGUAACUGACCUACCCCAAAGUCGCGGAUAACGAUUCGAAAGAAUCGCUAAUACGUGAUGUGCUGUCAGAUUGUGUUCUGCCAGUAAAGAUUGAUUGCUUUGGGAUGGGGUCGCGUUCCAUCAGCUAGUUGGUGGGGUAAAGGCCCACCAAGGCGACGACGGAUAGCCGGCCUGAGAGGGUGGCCGGCCACAGGGGCACUGAGACACGGGUCCCACUCCUACGGGAGGCAGCAGUUAGGAAUCUUCCACAAUGGGCGAAAGCCUGAUGGAGCGACGCCGCGUGAAGGAUGAAGAUCUUCGGAUCGUAAACCUCUGAAUCAGGGACGAAAGACACUUCGGUGGGAUGACGGUACCUGAGUAAUAGCACCGGCUAACUCCGUGCCAGCCGCCGCGGUAACAC
rnacentral:rRNA from 1 species